rnacentral:tRNA from 1 species
GCCCUUGGUCUAGUGGUAGAAUACAACGUUGCCAUCGUUGUGACCCGAGUUCGAUUCUCGGAUGAUGCA